GAGGAGUAAAGAGAAAAAUCAGGAAAGAAAGAAAAAGAAAGAUCAAGAAAUGAAAGCACAGACACACAAGAGUAUUGUCCUGGGACAUCCGGCAGUUGGUGGCAACUUAAGAUUCAACCUCAAGUCUUUGAAUUCUCCUCAGCGACUGGAAGAAUCAGGGAGGGCAGUGAUUUAAGCAUAUGCAGACAUAGCCCAAGGCCACUGCACCACAGGUUCUGAGACGAAGGCCUAUGUUUUGAGAAAGAAACAACUUCAGAAAUUCCCCAAAUUUCAGAACUCAUGAAACUUUCAGCUGACUCUGGGGAGGGGAAGAGAAAGAAACCUCCAUACUUGACGGGCCCAUAUAUUUCUUUACACCCUUAAAUAAACAUGCAUGCAUACCAGGAGGAUGCUAUAGAUUAAGCUAC